rnacentral:rRNA from 1 species
GAUCCUGGCUCAGGAUGAACGCUGGCGGCGUGCCUAAUACAUGCAAGUAGAACGCUGAAGCUUGGUGCUUGCACCGAGCGGAAGAGUUGCGAACGGGUGAGUAACGCGUAGGUAACCUGCCUCUUAGCGGGGGGAUAACUAUUGGAAACGAUAGCUAAUACCGCAUAAAAGUCGACAUUGCAUGAUGUUGACUUGAAAGGUGCAACUGCAUCACUAAGAGAUGG